AACUAACACUUUCACUUUCUUUCACUUCCUACAAAAAACAGCUGGUACAAAUUACUGUGCUAUUAUGACUUACGUUUGGGCAUGGACGAUGUAGCACUCCGAGAAGAAAGCAGAGAGGAUGGUGAGCAACUAUAAAAUGAUGUCAACUAAGGAUCAGGUAGAAAAGGUGGUCACAUUUGCCUUGGGCAGCGGAGGCUAUGGCACAGGCUCUCAUUAGCAGCCAGGGCUGUACCUUGUGUCUUCCUGAGACACUUUGAAUUUACCUGGAUUUCAAGUGCAAUCUGGACACCAGCAGUGUUAAAAGCUCCUCGGAUGAGUUGAGCUGAGAACCCCUGUUUAGGGGGCAGUGGGCCUGAUUGUGAAAUGAGAAAAGCCUUCAAAUGGAAAAUGAACUAGGUCUCCUUGCUUCACCCCAAGAAAAGAAUCAGCACUAGUGCUAAGGGGUGAUAUGAAGGCUUAUCUGGGCUCAAAGGAAAGAAGAAUAUUUGAAAAGCUUUGAGCUAUACUGAAAAUGGAAGUUGUUUAGUGGUAAAGAAGCUUUGAUCUCUAGAGGUGGUCAAGGGGAAGAUGGACAACCAUCACCCGGGAAGGUUGAACUUGGCCAGUGAGGGCCCCCUGUGCCAGGAGGACCAGAAGCAUCAUUCAGCCCCCUCACCCUUCAUCAGAGCAGCUAAACUUUCUUUUUUUAAUAUUGGGUUUCCCCAUAAGAUUUCCUUUGAAGAAAGAGACCUGCUCAAAAAAAAAAAAAAAAAAAAAAAAACCCAAAAGCUUGAAGAAAGAGACCUGCUCAAAAAAAAAAAAAGCUUUAAAGUCACUCAACUAGUUGACCUUUAUAACUAUUACCAGCUCUGAAAUUCUACAGUAUUUAAUCUUGUUUGAUGUUUUCUAAGAAAUAAAGCUACUGAUUGAUCCAUUCUUCCGAAGUCUGAGGUGGCAAAGAAGGAGUUCGUGAAAGGGAUGGAAAAUGUGAUUAGGAGGAGGGGGGCGUUGCUCUCAGCAGAGGGCCAGAUGCAAGAGCCCUCAACCCUAUGUAAGCUUGCAAUCAAUCAGAGUCUCUGGGGAUGCUGUGUGGUGAUAGCUAUUCAUGAAACACAGCAAGGUUGAGAGCCAUGGGCUCCACGGGUGAGCUGUGAGAAGCAUUCUAUUGUACAUGGAGCCAAACAUGGCAAGCAGCCUCCAACAUUGUGCUUCUUAAACUUCAGGUGCAUCAUAUUCACCUGGAUGGCUUAUGCAAACAUAGAUGACUGUGCCCCACCCCCAGAGUUGCUGAUUCAGUGAGUCUGUGACCAGGUGAAGAAUUUAUAUUUUUAACAAGUUGCAGGUGAUGCCAAUACUUCUGGGGAGCACUAUCAGAGAACCACUGCCUGACAAAAGGGGUUUACUUUAGACCUGCAAAGAACCUCCUCAUGGUGGGAAGGUGAGUCACAGUACGCGGCAGCCUUGAGAGGAUGGGCUAGUGCACUUAACCACUGUGGUCUUCCUUGCAGAAAUAUACUCACCUGACAGAGGAGCCUGGCAGGCUGCCGUCUAUGGGGUUGCACAGAGUCAGACACGACUGAAGCAACUUAGCGGCAGCAGCAGCAGCAGUGUAUCACCCAGGUGGCGCUAGUGGUAAAGAAACUGCCUGCCAAUGCAGGAGAGUUCCAAGACAAUGUGCUCAAGGUGGUGGUUGAAAUGAAGGGCAGUCAGAGUCCUUUCCCCAGACAAUAUUUUGCUGCUGGUCCCCUCAGCCUUUUGGAUGCUUGUUGCUUACAGUUCCUGCCAUGGUAUCUGAUGAGGUUCCAGACAAUAAGUAUCAACCAUACCUGUUGCUGAGGAUGCAGAAGCAGCCUUGCUAACGUGCAGCAGUGACGCGACUCACAGUCAGCUGACAUGGCAGGAAGUCACCUCAAGCUACACUGACAGACGGGAAAGUCCAGAGUAGCUUGAAUGUACUUUUUAAGAAAAGGAAAUAAAGAAGGCACUUUGGAGCUGAUGGGCUGUGUCACAAAGUCAGAAAGCCCAAUUACAUUUGAUAAUUUUGUGUAAGACGUAGGAAUAGUCUGGGAAUGCAUUGAUUUUAAAUAAAAAUAUUACUAUAAUGUUUGCAA